UAUACAUGCAGUCGAGCGAACAGAUAAGGAGCUUGCUCCUUUGACGUUAGCGGCGGACGGGUGAGUAACACGUGGGUAACCUACCUAUAAGACUGGAAUAACUCCGGGAAACCGGGGCUAAUGCCGGAUAACAUUUAGAACCGCAUGGUUCUAAAGUGAAAGAUGGUUUUGCUAUCACUUAUAGAUGGACCCGCGCCGUAUUAGCUAGUUGGUAAGGUAACGGCUUACCAAGGCAACGAUACGUAGCCGACCUGAGAGGGUGAUCGGCCACACUGGAACUGAGACACGGUCCAGACUCCUACGGGAGGCAGCAGUAGGGAAUCUUCCGCAAUGGGCGAAAGCCUGACGGAGCAACGCCGCGUGAGUGAUGAAGGUCUUCGGAUCGUAAAACUCUGUUAUUAGGGAAGAACAAAUGUGUAAGUAACUAUGCACGUCUUGACGGUACCUAAUCAGAAAGCCACGGCUAACUACGUGCCAGCAGCCGCGGUAAUACGUAGGUGGCAAGCGUUAUCCGGAAUUAUUGGGCGUAAAGCGCGCGUAGGCGGUUUCUUAAGUCUGAUGUGAAAGCCCACGGCUCAACCGUGGAGGGUCAUUGGAAACUGGGAAACUUGAGUGCAGAAGAGGAAAGUGGAAUUCCAUGUGUAGCGGUGAAAUGCGCAGAGAUAUGGAGGAACACCAGUGGCGAAGGCGACUUUCUGGUCUGUAACUGACGCUGAUGUGCGAAAGCGUGGGGAUCAAACAGGAUUAGAUACCCUGGUAGUCCACGCCGUAAACGAUGAGUGCUAAGUGUUAGGGGGUUUCCGCCCCUUAGUGCUGCAGCUAACGCAUUAAGCACUCCGCCUGGGGGAGUACGACCGCAAGGKUGAAACUCAAAGGAAUU
rnacentral:rRNA from 1 species